rnacentral:rRNA from 1 species
GAUGAACGCUGGCGGCGUGCUUAACACAUGCAAGUCGAACGAUGAAGCCCAGCUUGCUGGGUGGAUUAGUGGCGAACGGGUGAGUAACACGUGAGUAACCUGCCCUUAACUCUGGGAUAAGCCUGUGAAACUGGGUCUAAUACCGGAUAGGAGCGCCUACCGCAUGGUGGGUGUUGGAAAGAUUUAUCGGUUUUGGAUGGACUCGCGGCCUAUCAGCUUGUUGGUGAGGUAAUGGCUCACCAAGGCGACGACGGGUAGCCGGCCUGAGAGGGUGACCGGCCACACUGGGACUGAGACACGGAGCAGACUGCUACGGGAGGCAGCAGUGGGGAAUAUUGCACAAUGGGCGAAAGCCUGAUGCAGAGACGCCGCGUGAGGGAUGACGGCCUUCGGGUUGUAAACCUCUUUCAGUAGGGAAGAAGCGAAAGUGACGGUACCUGAAGAAGAAGCACCGGCUAACUACGUG